AUACGUAGGUGGCAAGCGUUGUCCGGAUUUACUGGGCGUAAAGGGUGUGUAGGUGGAUAUUUAAGUGAGAUGUGAAAUCCCCGAGCUUAACUUGGGGCCUGCAUUUCAAACUGGAUAUCUAGAGUGCAGGAGAGGAGAAUGGAACUCCUAGUGUAGCGGUGAAAUGCGUAGAGAUUAGGAAGAACACCAGUGGCGAAGGCGAUUCUCUGGACUGUAACUGACACUGAGGCACGAAAGCGUGGGUAGC
rnacentral:rRNA from 1 species